AUUUUUUAAAAAAGACAGUGCUUUGGUUUUAAAAAUAAUCUCAGCCACAACAUAGGGUCAGACUCUUACUAGCUUUCCUUUGGAGUUGAAACGUAACACAGGGUCAUUCAGGAGCUUGUGCAGACCUUCUUGGUACUUGGUACUUUUGUAUUUUGUCUAGCAUGUGGAUGUUAUAUUCUUUACACAUGGUAGAACCUUUUUAUCAUUAGAUCCUCAAAAAUAUUCCUUCUGCUCUUGGUGACUAAGCAGAGCACACACAUCAUAAAAUAAUUUAAAACCACUGCAUUGUGAAAUGUCUCAGCUUUAUUUUUUCUUUCAGUGGAGAUUUAUUAAUCGCCCGUGCGUCAGGACUAUUGGAUGCUGCGAUCAGCAGUGGACAAAGUCCCUGUCCUCCUGGGGAAGGCCCAUAGCAAACACGUCAGCGAACUAGUGUGCUGGAGACAGCUAAGCCCAAGUGGUCUCCCCUUGGUUUCAUUCUGAAAUAAAUCCAGUUGUUUAACAUUUUUAUGUAAGUUAAGUCUUAUUUUUUUUCUACUGAAUUUGCUUAAAAAAGAUAAUUGAGUAGCGGUUUCAAGUGCCUCUGUAAAAUAAAAGAAAUAAAAUGCUCCUUUACUGAAGACCCUGGUUGUCCAUACUGACAGAGUGCUAGCUGGGCACCGAGCUUUCUAGUUAGGGACUGCUUUCCCGAGUCCGUCCUGCUGUUCCACGUGGCCAAGGGGCUAAUCCUCACCAAGGGAUGGAAGUUGAAGGGGUGUAUGCCAUUUCAGGUCCCUUCCACCUUCUCUCUGCUUCCCACCAGCAGGAACCCAGCGGUGUGCCCUCAGCCAGCCAUGCAGACAAAUGCUUGGCGCUCUCAGCACCCAGGGAAGGAACCUGGGUCCACGGAGGCCUCUGCAGAGCCUUCCACACAGCUCUGCCUACAGCGAGAGCAACGCAUGCCUUCGUUUCCAAGCCACGGAGUGUGGAGGGGCUAUCACAGCCCACGUCCAUAUGCCAGGGACUCUGAAAGGGCCCAGUGAGAGAUCUUCAUAUAGGAGUGCGGGUUAGGCCUGACUCUCUAAAACCUGUGCUUCUGAAAUACUCUUGGAUUCACGUUUACCAUUGUUUUUAGAGGAAAAGAUAAAAAUUACUAUGUGGUCAGCCUCCCGGCACCCUGGUUCGUCUUAGCUGAACAUUGAGCAUGCUCAUCAGUGGCACAGUCCUCUUUGAUCAGAUGCUCUACCAGACAGCCAUGCCUUGCCCCUUCUUCCUCAGGAAAGUGGGGUGCACAGUCACAGAGCAGGUGAGUAUAGCCCGCCAGCACAGAGACGUGGAGGCAGAAGGACUUCAUAUGUCCGAAGAGCAGCACUGGACUUCCUCCACUCAGGCCAGGUAACUGGACAGAACCAGGGGUUCCAGAUGUCCUCAAACGCCAGCGCUCCGCCCACCAUACCCUCAAGGCUCCACCCCUCCCACAGUUGUGGAACCUUCCACACUAGCCAUGCAGAGCCCCCAGAGCACUGGGUCCAGGCACCACAUGAUGCUCCAGAGCUCUGAUCACCAAGCCAAGAUGAGAACGGAGGAAAGGACACAGUCCACCAGGUGGAGCAGGUAAGAUUUCGAGGCUUCAGGGGAAGCAGCAAGUUCAAAGGAACACAUUCCCAGGAUUGGACGAGCAGCAGGGAGUUGGAAUUCUUUCAAAAUGUAAUUUCCCGCAAAACUGCCAUUAUUUGAGCUAAAGCCAACCAACUGAGACCCUGUGGUCUCUAGAGAAAUUUUGCACCCCUGACCCUUAACUACCUAGAAGAUCUUAAAUUAGUGGCCCAUAAUGAGAGAUGAUCAGAGAUAACCUUCUGACCUAUCAGUAGGGCAGGGCAAACUACUAAUUACUGAACACCUGUUCUUGUCCUGAGAACGCCCCUUCUCCUCUCUGGAGCCCCAGGGCAUCUAACCACAUAGCUGACUCAUAAUUUGAUAUUUACCUAUCCCC